rnacentral:tRNA from 1 species
GAGAAUACUAGGAUGUCGGCAGGCCAUUAGGCUUCAACCCCAGGGGUUGCAGGUUCGAGUCCUGCUGGGCGCACCA